rnacentral:rRNA from 1 species
UACGGGGGUGCGAGCGUUGUCCGGAAUCACUGGGCGUAAAGGGCGCGUAGGUGGCUUGGUAAGCGUGUGGUGAAAGCCCGGGGCUCAACCCCGGGUCUGCCAUGCGAACUGCUAUGGCUUGAGCACUGUAGAGGCAGGUAGAAUUCCGGGUGUAGCGGUGGAAUGCGUAGAGGAUCCGGAAGAAUACCGGUGGCGAAGGCGGCCUGCUGGGCAGUGGCUGACACUGGAGGCGCGACAGCGUGGGGAGCCAAACAGGG